GCUCUUCCUCCGCCCCCCGACCACACCCCCUUAAAGGGCCAGCCCCUCUACAGGCCCCUCUCCCCUACUCCGCCCCCGGGCAGGGGUAGGGGAGGGUCUAUUCGGCAGGGGGUGGCCUAGCUGUCCGUACUCCCCAAACGCAACCUUCCAGUCCCAAACCCAGGCGUUCUAAGCGCUCAGGACGACGAUUUGCGCUCACGCCAGGACCCUAGUCUUCAUUGGACCCUUCCUCAUUCUGUCCUCAUUGAGGCCAUCUGAGAAUAGGGGCUAUCUGAGAAUGCAGGGGAGUGGACAUCGUGUGCAGACAGGGAGUCUGGUGAGGAGACGCUGCGGUCCCCGAUGUCCAGGUCCUCCAGCCCUCGGCCAGCGAGGAGCGAACGGGCUCCUCCGCACGGACCGACACGUGGACUGGGCUCCUGGGAAAGGAAGAGUGGAGAAGGCGGGCAGGAGCUGUCCGGGUCCCUAGACUCUCCGAGUAGCAGGUCCCACGCCCCCAGCGGAAGAAGCCGGGGCUGGGGGUGAGCGGUGGCACCCGGCCGGCCCAAACGGCCAACCCCGGGCAGCCACCGCCCACCGGCAAGAUGGCGCGAGGCUCGGGCUUGUGGGAAACGGAGUCCGCUCCCGGCGCCGCCCCUCCCCCGCCCUGCGGCCAGGCCGGGAAGCGCAAAGUUGUUUGGGGCGUCCUCUGCGCCUCGCGACCCGAAUUGUGAGUGCCACGGGGCUGAGGCCUGCGCCGACCUGGUCUGCUGGUGCUACCAGGCUUGAACAGUCUUCAAAUCCACUGCUAUUAGGCAAAUUACCUGGCUCCCGCUGAACUCCAGCACCUAGAACUAUGUCACACUCGUAGUAGGCCGCUGCAUUGGUUGAACAAAUGAUUUUGAAAGAAUGAAUGUCUUCCUCUGUGCCUGCAUUUCCUCAGAAGGCUGUAACAAAGAUUAAAUAGGAAAAUUCGUGGAAAGUUCAA
rnacentral:lncRNA from 1 species